rnacentral:tRNA from 2 species
GGAUCGGUGGCCGAGUGGUUUAAGGCGCACGCCUGGAAAGUGUGUGUACGUGAAAGCGUACCGUGAGUUCGAAUCUCACCCGAUCCG